rnacentral:rRNA from 1 species
GUCGAGAAUAAUUCACAAUGGGGGCAACCCUGAUGGAGCGACGCCGCGUGGAGGAUAAGGUCUUCGGAUUGUAAACUCCUGUCAUGCGUGAACAAGGUUGCUUGGUUAAUACCUGGGCAAAUUGAUGGUAACGCAAGAGGAAGAGACGGCUAACUCUGUGCCAGCAGCCGCGGUAAUACAGAGGUCUCAAGCGUUGUUCGGAAUCACUGGGCGUAAAGGGUGCGUAGGUGGCGUGGUAAGUCAGAUGUGAAAGCCCGGGGCUCAACCUCGGAACUGCAUCCGAGACUGCCAUGCUAGAGUACGUGAGAGGUGACUAGAAUUCUCGGUGUAGCAGUGAAAUGCGUAGAUAUCGAGAGGAAUACCAAAGGCGUAGGCAGGUCACUGGACAGUUACUGACACUGAGGCACGAAGGCCAGGGGAGCGAACGGGAUUAGAAACCCGGGUAGUCC